CGCAUGGGGACCGCGAUCUCCCCACGAGGCGACAGGCCUAAGCAUCGCGUCCUGCUCUCUUUGAUGGACGCACCCGCAUG
rnacentral:ncRNA from 1 species